AUGUUCCUGAGAUGUUCGUAAUAACCUAUAAUUUUGAACCUACAGUAGACAUACGGGAUCCGGAAGUUUUUAUCUGUAGCACAGGCCUCAAGCUAAUUCCGACAUCGGUGCUGAGCCGGAUGCAACGGCGGAGGAAGUGUGAACGGUAAAGCAGGGUACCCACCUGACGUGUGGCUAGGUGUCAAAAUAUAGGGGAACGGCAUUUUGGGGCAUGA
rnacentral:other from 1 species